rnacentral:lncRNA from 1 species
UUAUGCUUAUUGGAUUUGGUGGCGACCCUAUAAGUCUCUUUUAAUAAUUAUAAAAAUUUAAUUAAUCACAGUUUAUUUUUUGAUUCUACUUAAUUAAUUAUUAUAAGUAAUUAAUAAAUUUAUAAAAUAAUAAAUUUUUAUGUAUUUUUGAAGGGAGAAACAAGACUCCCAAACAUGCCCUUUGAAGCCACCAAAGGCCAUAUUUAAGCUUGCUUCAAGCAGCUCCAGUCUAAUCGUUUUGGCUAUUUGACUACUGGGUAUGUUUAUCUUCUUCUGUAGCCACUAGUAAUAUACAUACAUACAUAUAUAUAUAUAUAUAUAAGAGCUGUGUAUGUAUAUAUUUAUAUAAAAUUUGCAUGUAGCCGGCUUUUGAAACAAGUUACGCGGAGAAAAGAAGGAAGAAGAAGAAGAAGAAGAAAUAGAGCAUACCCAGAAGCCGUAACCAGUCAAUAUUUCAAGAGCUUGAUUUAGUAGCGUCUGCAAAAAUGGUGCUUCAGAGAUUGGAGAUAUGCAUAGAGAUGGUGAGACUGGCAAUAGAUUUCGUCAUCGUUGUGGCUGAAGCUGUGGGAAUUGUGAUUCAGCAGAACAAUCUGCCACAGCUAACCACCCAGCCUUACUCUAAUACUCCCGCCCCCUUUGUUGGCUUUCUUCCAUGAAAUUACCCUUGCAUAUAUACAUACACGUGUGUGUGUGUGUGUGUGUAAGUACGUGUCUCGCCGUCAGCUUGCUCUUUGUAUAUUCAUGGAGUUUGAGGUUGGUAAAAAAUCACAUUACUUUCCCAACUUUUGUCCUUUCCUUUUUUUUUUUUUUUUGGUGAAAUUCAUUUCCAUUCGGGUCUCUCUGUUUCUUGUUUCUUUUGCUUUUUCCAGUUUUGGUAGAUGGGAAUUUUGUUACUUACCGUGAAUGUAUGAUAGUUUUUGGAUGAGCUACAUAUACACACACACACACAUAUAUAUAUAUAUAUAUGGAUGAAUAAUAUGAAUCGAGUUUGAUCUUUUCGUGAAUUACCCAUUACAUCCGAUCAGAACCUCUAUUUCAAAUUAGGGUUCUUCCAUUAACCCGAUGUCUGGAUAAAACCUUUCAUUUCACAAUUCACAUUGAGUUGUAAGCUUAAUUAAUUAAAUUUUCAUGCUUUCUUUCUGGGUUUAUUCGAUUUUUGAGAACCCAGUUUCUGGUUUUUCUAAAUUCAAACUAG